rnacentral:rRNA from 1 species
AGAACGAACGCUGGCGGCAUGCCUAACACAUGCAAGUCGAACGCGUGGAGCAAUCCACGAGUGGCGCACGGGUGAGUAACGCGUGGGAACCUGCCCUGGAGUGGGGGAUAACCGAGGGAAACCUCGGCUAAUACCGCAUACGUCCUGAGGGAGAAAGAUUUAUCGCUCUGGGAGGGGCCCGCGUCGGAUUAGCUAGUUGGUGGGGUAACGGCCCACCAAGGCUUUGAUCCGUAGCUGGUCUGAGAGGAUGAUCAGCCACACUGGGACUGAGACACGGCCCAGACUCCUACGGGAGGCAGCAGUGGGGAAUAUUGGACAAUGGGCGCAAGCCUGAUCCAGCAAUGCCGCGUGAGUGAUGAAGGCCUUAGGGUUGUAAAGCUCUUUCGCACGCGACGAUGAUGACGGUAGCGUGAGAAGAAGCCCCGGCUAACUUCGUGCCAGCAGCCGC